CAAUGGCGAAAAAAAUGAAAACAGCAGAAGAGCCUUUGAGCAAAUGUGCGAUGGGCUUUUAGAAGAAGAGAUCAAGGUUUUCCAUCAGUGUGAAACAUGGACGGGCUAUUCUCCGGAAAAUUAUGAAAAUUAAUACGCUCUAUAAAUGCUUUGUAAAAGCGAAGAGGAAAGCUGCUCAAGUAUAAAUAGGAGGAGGCAUUUCACGCGAAGAAGAACAAGAAGAUCGUUAUUUACACCGGCUUCAGAACCACGAAUUUUCAAUAGCAUCACCAAC